UAAAUAAUAGGUUUUAAAUCCCCUCUUGCAGCAGCUGACCCUACACGUGUUUAUCCAAGUGACUGGAGUUGUGCCAGUCCCUCUGGUAAGUGACCUUUCCCGAAUUUUUCUUUUCAAGUUGACAUUUAAAAAGGGGGGGAAAAGUCAUAGCAACAAACAGUGUUUUAACAGCGAUAAAGCCAUACCCGUCAACAAAGCCAGGAAAGCUGCUCCGGAGCCUGCUCCGGCGGCUCUGCUGUCCCUAAUGGAGCCUGUAUGGACAGCACUGGCUUGUGCUUCCCAACCUGCUUGGUUUUGCAUGAACCAAUGCCCGUGGGCUGGGCUGGGCGCCUCCGCAGCUCCAGGGAAAGGCUUGUGGGGUACAAUUAAGCAUAAGCCAGCUGCUGGCAGCUGGAGGCACUCACGGUAUUAGCUCAUUACUGAAAUUCAAAUGAAGAAGAGUCUUAAAUCUCUGAAAGGAAUCUGGGUUUGGCAGGCAGUGGAGCACUUGGCUGAUAUUGAAAAUGCCUUGGACAAUUUACUGUGUGUUUGGGGGGAGUAAAAUUCACCCCUAGCUUCCAUGUUCCUUGGUUCUCAGCUUCAGCACUGCUGUGACACAACCCCUCACCCCUGGCAAUAGUCUCACAGGGAGAUACUUAAGCAAUGAAGUGCCUGUGCUUUGCAGGAAGUUUACAUCUAAAGCCCAGAUGAGCUCCUCUUCCAGGCUGGGCAUCACUGAAGGGUUCCCCAAAUCCUACUCUCCCCAUGUCCUGGCCAAUGCCAUAGCUCUGCCAUGCCAGCUGCUAGCCACUCCAUCUCCACUGGGCUCUGUGGCAUCUCGUGUGUGUCCCUGCCUUCUCCAUCUGUAAAGCACCCUGCAGCCCUUACCUGUGUUUUUGGUUUACUUGCAGGUGGUGAGCAGGACUGUGAGCAGCAACCAGUCUGGGGUGUUGGAGUCUCCCUGGAAUCCCCCCUCUGGCUCCUCUCCUUGAUGUGCCACUAGGAAUGAUUUCCACCAGGACCACUCCAGGGACGGCAGCAUGGAGUGCCUGCAUGGUCCUGCCUUGACAAGAGGAAUUGAAACAGGGACAUUCCAGCACUGGUGUUUCCUGUAGCUGGAGGCAUAGGAGAUCCAUGGGAAGCACCUGUCAGCAGGGAUCCCCCAGAACUGGGUGCUUCCCAGGCCUUUCUUGCAGAUGGCUCAAUGGGAGAGGCUGCAAAAAGUUGAGGAGCACCUAAGCAGUUCUGCCAUGACAGGCCUGUUCUGCGCUUGGCCUUGCGGUGAUGCCGUUUCUUGCAUUUAAUCUGUUUGUGCAAGAGGAUAAAACAAUAAUGAAAUAAACCCCAGGCUGUGACUUCCCACGAGCUGCUGACCCGCCAUGUGACAGGAGCUGCUGCAGGGCCCUGCACCGAGAUGCUACCCUCAUGAAUCAUGAGGUUCUUUACCUCAAGGUUGCACAAAGAAUUGACUUUGGCAGCAGACAUCAAGGUACAGCAGUCAGCAGAGCUCGCUCACUGCAUUGACAUCUGCUGGAAAGACUUGUUUUUCCCUCCCAAGUCACAUGCUAACUUGUGAUGUGAUCAUGAGAUACAAAGGAUAACCUUCCAAUAUGUACUUUUCUCAUCUGGAUUUUUAAAAGGCAGAGGAAAAGAGCAAAAAGCAAUGUAAGCGAGGGGGGGAAAGCCUCCCUGCCUCUUUUGGUUAGUGUUGCUGUGAUUGCUGCUGGGACAGGGCAGGAGACUGGCUCCAGCGUGAUGGGCUGCAUGGGUGACGGAGAGCAUCGGUGAGAAGAGCAUCAGUGUGGGCAGAGCUAUGUGUGUUCACCCCAUGGGUGUCCCCUUCUUCACCUGUGUGCCCACAGAGGUGAGCAGAGGCUGCCUGUUCCAGGGUAGCCUGUGCUGGCCCAGGCAGAGGGAACUUUUUCUGGCCCUGUGCCAUCCCAUCCCUCAAUGUUAAGCUCUCAUGUUUGAUUAUAAAUGUCAAAGUAACUAUUUUUAAUAACAAUAUCCCAAUGUAAGCAGCUGGGCAGGUGGAAUUAUUUGAUAUGUGUUCUAGUCCAAAGGUUUAUAGUAAGCCCAGCUGCAAGAUUAAGCCAGAAUCACCCUUGAAUAAAA